UACGUAGGGUGCAAGCGUUGUCCGGAAUUAUUGGGCGUAAAGAGCUCGUAGGCGGUGUGUCGCGUCGGCCGUGAAAACCUGCAGCUUAACUGUGGGCGUGCGGUCGAUACGGGCAUCACUGGAGUUCGGCAGGGGAGACUGGAAUUCCUGGUGUAGCGGUGAAAUGCGCAGAUAUCAGGAGGAACACCCGGGUGGCGAAGGCGGGGUCUC
rnacentral:rRNA from 1 species